UUGCCAAAGGAACCUCAGUCUACAGGGAGUAGCUGCUUUCUGCAUUUGCUACUUCAGCAGCCUUCAGAAUCCUUUUAUGCCUUUUAGCAGUUGAUCAUAUUUCCCAGUUAACAAUUGUUGUUACUAAAUUAUCCCCAUUCAUAUUAUGGGGAAGUGGUUUAUUUCUCCUGACUGGACCCUGAUUGAUAUAUAAGGACUUAAACAAAAAGAGAUCAAGAGAAGGAAAGGACAGAGACACAAGGAGAAUGAAACCUGGUUGGCAGCCAAAUUCCAGACAAUUCGUACAACUGAAUUGUCUUACCAUAAGAAGUUCUUUCCCUUCCACUCUCGAAGUGAAACUACUCAUCCUAUUUUUGUGGUGAAGAUAUGUCAUAGCUUAGCAAAGGGAAUACUGGAAGAAGUACUAGAAGACAUGAGUUUGAAUCCUAUCCUUGCCAUUACUAGACUUAGGUGGGAACAAACUGAGGCAAACUGAAGACCUAAACCUUAUUAUAAGAGAAGAACAAAAGGACUAAGAGCUGGCAAUAGACUUUUCAAUCCUAUCAACAGGUGUCUUCCAACCUCAGCUGUAAAUAGCUAUAACAUGAAUGGAGAUACCUUUAAGAAGCUGCUAAUAGGCCAACAAGAGGCACACAGGGCAUGCAUCUUGUGAUUGAAAAAGUACUCAAUUGCCAGGAAUGCUCAGAGCAGUGCACAGUGACUUUUGGUAAGGUUGAAAUGCUAACCCCCAAGAAGAUUUGAUCAAGAGGAUUGAAGAGUUCUUCCAUGGAUGUGAAGAACAGGUUAUAUUCUAUUCUGCUUCGCAGAUCUACAAAAUUGGCAGCCAAGAUGUGAUGCCAGAAUCCUUACUGUUAGUAGUGACAGUUGGUGUGCUUACAAGCAGUGAAGAGAAAACAUCUUAAUUUUCAAGUUUAUCAGGUUGAAUUCAUAGUGCUGGCACUUGGAAAAUCUUGCUUUGACUUAUAAAUGAAACAAACUUAUACAAAAGCCGAAAACAGAGAAUAAGUAUGAAAUAAUGUCAUAUGCUUUCUUCUAACAGUGAUUACAUUUUCAAAGAAACGAGAAAAGGUCGGGCGCGGUGGCUCAAGCCUGUAAUCUCAGCACUUUGGGAGGCCGAGGCGGGUGGAUCAUG